rnacentral:rRNA from 1 species
GAUGAACGCUGGCGGCGUGCCUAAUACAUGCAAGUCGAGCGAACAGACGAGGAGCUUGCUCCUCUGACGUUAGCGGCGGACGGGUGAGUAACACGUGGAUAACCUACCUAUAAGACUGGGAUAACUUCGGGAAACCGGAGCUAAUACCGGAUAAUAUAUUGAACCGCAUGGUUCAAUAGUGAAAGACGGUUUUGCUGUCACUUAUAGAUGGAUCCGCGCCGCAUUAGCUAGUUGGUAAGGUAACGGCUUACCAAGGCGACGAUGCGUAGCCGACCUGAGAGGGUGAUCGGCCGCACUGGAACUGAGACACGGUCCAGACUCCUACGGGAGGCAGCAGUAGGGAAUCUUCCGCAAUGGGCGAAAGCCUGACGGAGCAACGCCGCGUGAGUGAUGAAGGUCUUCGGAUCGUAAAACUCUGUUAUUAGGGAAGAACAAAUGUGUAAGUAACUAUGCACGUAUUGACGGUACCUAAUCAGAAAGCCACGGCUAACUACGUG